AUUGAACGCUGGCGGCAUGCUUUACACAUGCAAGUCGAACGGCAGCGCGGGCUUCGGCCUGGCGGCGAGUGGCGAACGGGUGAGUAAUACAUCGGAACGUGCCCAGUAGUGGGGGAUAGCUCGGCGAAAGCCGGAUUAAUACCGCAUACGACCUGAGGGUGAAAGCGGGGGAUCUUCGGACCUCGCGCUAUGGGAGCGGCCGAUGGCAGAUUAGCUAGUUGGUGGGGUAAAGGCCUACCAAGGCGACGAUCUGUAGCUGGUCUGAGAGGACGACCAGCCACACUAGGACUGAGACACGGCCCAGACUCCUACGGGAGGCAGCAGUGGGGAAUUUUGGACAAUGGGCGAAAGCCUGAUCCAGCAAUGCCGCGUGUGUGAUGAAGGCCUUCGGGUUGUAAAGCACUUUUGGCGGGAACGAAAAGGACUGUGCCAAUACCACGGUUCGAUGACGGUACCCGCAGAAUAAGCACCGGCUAACUACGUG
rnacentral:rRNA from 1 species